rnacentral:rRNA from 1 species
AGAAUCAACGCUGGCGGCGUGCCUCAGACAUGCAAGUCGAACGAUUAAACUUUCCUUCGGGAAAGAUAUAAAGUGGCGCACGGGUGAGUAACACGUAAGUAAUCUACCUUUGAGUGGGGAAUAACCCGGGGAAACCCGAGCUAAUACCGCAUAAUGCAGCGGCACCGCAAGGUGACAGUUGUUAAAGGAGCAAUCCGCUUAAAAGAGGAGCUUGCGGCAGAUUAGCUAGUUGGUAAGGUAAUGGCUUACCAAGGCUACGAUCUGUAACCGGUCUAAGAGGACGGUCGGUCACACUGACACUGAAUAACGGGUCAGACUCCGUACGGGAGCAGCAGUCGGGUAAUUUGGGCAAGUGGACGAAAGCCUGACCCAGCAACGCCGCGUGAAGGA